rnacentral:lncRNA from 1 species
AUGAUAGGCCCCUUCCUCUCUGUUUGCAUGUGGUCUGUUGAGAAAACAGACAUGCCAUUGAGGACUGCAUCAUGUGGGGAAUGUUCUGAGAGCAGCAUUCUCAUGACCAGGGCAGCACAGAAAAGAGAGAAUUAGGGCACAUGAAGUGGGGGUGGGGAGGGGGUGAGGGACAGUUAGGAGGAUGAGUAGAAAUCAGCUAGACUAGACCCACAGAGGUCGGGGAGAAAAGGGCCCAGUGUAUGUAAGCCCAGGCAGGCUCAAAGAUACCAGGACGUUCCGGAGUGAGAGGAGUGAGGGGAGCAUAUCUAUGGGGAAGUAGACAGAGGACAACCAGAAAAGUGGGCAAGGGCCUGGCAGUGAAGAGCCCCAGAAGUCCAUCUGAAGUGUAUCAGUCUUGAAUUAGAUCCUGGUUAAAGUUUUUGACCUGCAUACUAAUAUUUCAUGUGUUUCCUCUUCUUCCUCCAGCUAUCUCCCCUGGUUCGAGGUAUUUUAUAAGCUGCUUAACAUCCUGGCAGAUUACACGACAAAAAGACAGGUAUUUACCUUUUAAAAAUAAUUCUUUUAAACAAAUAAGCUUUAAUUUUUAUGAUGAAAAAGUAAAACAUGCCUUAUAUUUUACCAAAAAAGUGAUGCAUGCGCAUUAUAGAAAGUUUGGGAAAUUCAGAAAAUAAUAGGAAGGAAAAGAAAAUCACUUUUAAUUUGCCCCACUCCCUUCCCUAAAAUAAAUAUUCCUAGCAUUUUGGGUUGUUUUCUUUUUUAAGUUUUUCUUUGCAUUAAAGAAAUGAUAAAUAGACCCUUAACGUUCAC